CCAACACGCAAGAAGCUUAAUAGCCGUGGAGUACAAUGUCUAAUGCAUUGUGUUGUCUGUAACGAUGGAGACGAAGAUAGUAUGCAUGUAUUGUUCUCAUGUACAAGAAGCAUUCAGUGCUGGCAGCAAGCAGGUUUGUGGGCUCAUAUCGGUACAGGUCUGGUUGCUAAUAACAAUAUUGCAGAAAAUUUGUUCUCAAUUUUGCACCGGUUGNNN
rnacentral:lncRNA from 1 species